rnacentral:rRNA from 1 species
AUACGAAGGGGGCUAGCGUUGUUCGGAAUUACUGGGUGUAAAGGGUGUGUAGGCGGGGAUGCAAGUCAGAUGUGAAAUCCAUGGGCUCAACCUAUGGUGUGCAUUUGAAACUGCGUUCUUGAGUGUGGGAGAGGUAAGCGGAAUUCCUAGUGUAGCGGUGAAAUGCGUAGAUAUUAGGAGGAACACCAGUGGCGAAGGCGGCUUACUGGACCACAACUGACGCUGAGACACGAAAGCGUGGGGAGC